rnacentral:snRNA from 1 species
GUGCUCACUUUGCCAGCACAUAUACUAACAUUGGAACAACACAGAGAACAUGAGCGUGGCCCCUGCACAAGGGAGACUCGCAAAUUUGUGAAGCGUUCUGUAGUUUU